AUCAAAGCUGGCGGGACUCGGCGAGAUAAACACUACUUCACCUAAGAGACUUGAGUAUCCAGUUCUUCAUUGACCUUCAGCAUUCAGUUGUUUGUCUUCACCUUUUCAGGUAAGCAAUUAAAAAAAAAUGCUUUUGUAAUGUUGAGAAACACUGAAAUUAUUAUUCAUAAAAAACUUUCAACCACUGUUCUGUGAUGUCACGUAUAGUGAUAUACAAAUAUAUCUGAAGGAAAGGUGUAUUUGGGAUAAUCAAUAUUAUUAGUAUUAUUCAUGUAUUUAUUCAUUUUUAAAUCAGAGAAUGGGGGAAAAUAGAUUAUUAGUACAAAAACUAGUAACUAGUAAAAAAAAAAAAUUGGUAACAAUAAUGUUCAUUCAUUAAUUGACGCUUGGUCAAACUCUCAUCUAAUUAAGUAUUGCUGUCUCAUUAAUGUAUUUAUUUAUUUUGUCGGCUAAAACCUGAGGAGAAGAAGAAGAUGACUUUAUUAAUCCCACAAUGGGGAAAUUCAACCUCUGCAUUUAACCCAUCCUUUUUUACACACAAGUGAACACACCAUGCAAGGAGCAGUGGGCAGCACAUUACUGCGCCCGAAGCCAUCACCAUGUUGUUUUUUCACAUCAGAAUAAGUAUUUCACAUGAUGCAGAUCUUUCAGCAUGUGGUCCUCAAUAUAUAGUAUAGAAGUCACUGUAUUUUCUGACUUUUCCAGGUUUCCUGUGUCCAGCAUCUUCAAGACAGACUAAGCUAACUUUUCAUAUUUUUUGCACAUUUAUAUUUAGUUUAGGUUAGGAGUAGGUUAGGUUUAUAGUAGAGUAUUUAGUUUGUAUAGUUUAGCUUUUUAUGCUGGUCUAGGGACAGUUAAGUUAGCAAAUUAAUUUAGUUCAGAUCACUUACAGUUGCAUAUUAUUGUUACAAUUGUGUUAUUUUGUGAGUUAUUGUUGUACAGGCUAUUGUAUAUUGCAGGACCAAGUGAGACGAGGAAGACCACUGCUUCCAAGAUGCCGCGCUCAGAAAGUGCGUUGGACAAGUCUCGACCUUGCAGAUCCUGCCCCACUGAGCCCAACCACUUCCGACCAUGGGGUACCUCAAAGACCUCCGUCAACCAGCCGGCUGUGGAUGAUGUAUAACGCACCCACAACUCCUUCUCCAGUCUACAAGACACCCCCACAGUCCAAGAACAGCUGGAUGACCUCUGGACCCACUUGCCCCCGUUCACCAGUUGAAAAGAUAGGCUUUUUAAAAAAUUCUUCAAUUGUUAAUUCUGCACAAAGUGAUACACAAAACAUUGUAUGUCUUCCAUUUCAACAAACACAAACAUGAAAUGUAUAUUUCAAUACAUAACUUAAUGCAAAUCAAUCAUACUAAACAUCAUCUUUUUUUUUAAACCAA